rnacentral:rRNA from 1 species
AGUGAACGCUGGCGGUAGGCCUAACACAUGCAAGUCGAACGGCAGCACAGUAAGAGCUUGCUCUUACGGGUGGCGAGUGGCGGACGGGUGAGGAAUACAUCGGAAUCUACUUUUUCGUGGGGGAUAACGUAGGGAAACUUACGCUAAUACCGCAUACGACCUACGGGUGAAAGCAGGGGAUCUUCGGACCUUGCGCGAUUGAAUGAGCCGAUGUCGGAUUAGCUAGUUGGCGGGGUAAAGGCCCACCAAGGCGACGAUCCGUAGCUGGUCUGAGAGGAUGAUCAGCCACACUGGAACUGAGACACGGUCGAGACUCCUACGGGAGGCAGCAGUGGGGAAUCUUGGGCAAUGGGGGCAAGCCUGAUCCAGCCAUACCGGGUAGGUGAAGAAGGCCUUCGGGUUGUAAAGCCCUUUUGUUGGGAAAGAAAAGCAGCAGGUUAAUACCCCGCUGUUCUGACGGUACCCAAAGAAUAAGCACCGGCUAACUUCGUG